rnacentral:rRNA from 1 species
UACGUAGGGGGCAAGCGUUGUCCGGAUUUAUUGGGCGUAAAGAGCGUGUAGGCGGCCAGACAGGUCAGCUGUGAAACUCGAGGCUCAACCUCGAGACGUCGGUUGAAACCGUUUGGCUAGAGUCCGGAAGAGGAGAGUGGAAUUCCUGGUGUAGCGGUGAAAUGCGCAGAUAUCAGGAAGAACACCCGUGGCGAAGGCGGUUCUCUGGACGGUACUGACGCUGAGACGCGAAAGCGUGGGAGCGAACAGG